rnacentral:rRNA from 1 species
GCGCGCAAAUUACCCAAUCCCGACACGGGGAGGUAGUGACAAUAAAUACUGAUACAGGGCUCUUUUGGGUCUUGUAAUUGGAAUGAGUACAAUUUAAAUCCCUUAACGAGGAACAAUUGGAGGGCAAGUCUGGUGCCAGCAGCCGCGGUAAUUCCAGCUCCAAUAGCGUAUAUUAAAGUUGUUGUGGUUAAAAAGCUCGUAGUUGAACCUUGGGCCUGGCUGGCCGGUCCGCCUCACCGCGUGUACUGGUCCGGCCGGGCCUUUCCCUCUGUGGAACCCCAUGCCCUUCACUGGGUGUGGCGGGGAAACAGGACUUUUACUUUGAAAAAAUUAGAGUGCUCCAGGCAGGCCUAUGCUCGAAUACAUUAGCAUGGAAUAAUAGAAUAGGACGUGUGGUUCUAUUUUGUUGGUUUCUAGGACCGCCGUAAUGAUUAAUAGGGACAGUCGGGGGCAUCAGUAUUCAAUUGUCAGAGGUGAAAUUCUUGGAUUUAUUGAAGACUAACUACUGCGAAAGCAUUUGCCAAGGAUGUUUUCAUUAAUCAGGAACGAAAGUUAGGGGAUCGAAGACGAUCAGAUACCGUCGUAGUCUUAACCAUAAACUAUGCCGACUAGGGAUCGGACGAUGUUAUUUUUUGACUCGUUCGGCACCUUACGAGAAAUCAAAGUG